GAUGAAGAACGCAGCGAAAUGCGAUACUUGGUGUGAAUUGCAGAAUCCCGUGAACCAUCGAGUCUUUGAACGCAAGUUGCGCCCGAAGCCAUUAGGCCGAGGGCACGCCUGCCUGGGCGUCACACGUCGUUGCCCCCCCAUCUACUCCUUCGGGAUUGCGGGGGGCGGAUGAUGGCCUCCCAUGCGCCUCGCCGCGCGGUUGGCAUAAAUGCCAAGUCCUCGGCGACGCACGCCACGACAAUCGGUGGUUGCGAAACCUCGGUUGCCCGUCGUGUGCGGUCGUCGCGCAUCGAGGGCUCGAAAAAAUUGCCGGGUUCCGGCUCGGCUUUCAACGCGACCCCAGGUCAGGCGGGGUUACCCGCUGAAUUUAAGCAUAUCAAUAAGCGGAGGA
rnacentral:misc_RNA from 1 species